AGAGCGAACGCUGGCGGCAGGCCUAACACAUGCAAGUCGAGCGCCAUAGCAAUACGGAGCGGCAGACGGGAGAGUAACACGUGGGAACGUACCCUUCAGUUCGGAACAACCCAGGGAAACUUGGGCUAAUACCGAAUACGUCCGUAAGGAGAAAGAUUUAUCGCUGAAGGAUCGGCCCGCGUCUGAUUAGCUUGUUGGUGAGGUAAUGGCUCACCAAGGCUACGAUCAGUAGCUGGUCUGAGAGGAUGAUCAGCCUCACUGGGACUGAGACACGGCCCAGACUCCUACGGGAGGCAGCAGUGGGGAAUAUUGGACAAUGGGCGCAAGCCUGAUCCAGCCAUGCCGCGUGGGUGAUGAAGGCCCUAGGGUUGUAAAGCCCUUUCGGCGGGAAGAUAAUGACGGUACCCGCAGAAGAAGCCCCGGCUAACUUCGUGCCAGCAGCCGC
rnacentral:rRNA from 1 species